GACGAACGCUGGCGGCGUGCUUAACACAUGCAAGUCGAACGGAAAGGCCCUGCUUUUGUGGGGUGCUAGAGUGGCGAACGGGUGAGUAACACGUGAGUAACAUGCACUUGACUUUGGGAUAACUUCAGGAAACUGGGGCUAAUACCGGAUACGAGCUCCUGCUGCAUGGUGGGGGUUGGAAAGUUUCGGCGGUUGGGGAUGGACUCGCGGCUUAUCAGCUUGUUGGUGGGGUAGUGGCUUACCAAGGCUUUGACGGGUAGCCGGCCUGAGAGGGUGACCGGCCACAUUGGGACUGAGAUACGGCCCAGACUCCUACGGGAGGCAGCAGUGGGGAAUAUUGCACAAUGGGCGGAAGCCUGAUGCAGCAACGCCGCGUGCGGGAUGACGGCCUUCGGGUUGUAAACCGCUUUCGCCUGUGACGAAGCGUGAGUGACGGUAAUGGGUAAAGAAGCACCGGCUAACUACGUG
rnacentral:rRNA from 1 species